rnacentral:lncRNA from 1 species
AAAUUUAAGAAUUUAAAAAGUAAUGUUUAUUAAAUGAAGAAUAAAGUAAAACUAUAAAUUAAGUUAAAAUAUUAAAUAUUUAAUUAAACAUAAAUAUUAAUUGUAUUGGUUCAAAAACAAAAAAAAAAGGUGCGCAAAAGUUAAAAAAAUAUAUGACAAAAUGUAUUGUAUUUUUGAGGGACCUAAGUAUUAUUCAUGUCAUAUGUAUUGGUGUCUGGCACGACAUAUGUUUAAAAGUGAAUUCUUUAGCACAAUCAUUUGC